AAAAAAGUGAUUUUCUCAUCGGCAGUUCAAACAGCAAUGCCAAACAGGCACUAGAUCCACCACUGCUCAUUAUAGCAACUAAAAUGAUCAUCCAAUCCUAAUUUUCCACAUUUCAAACCCAAAAACAACACGUGCACUUCCCACAUAAUAUAUGCAUGUCCAAUACUAGUAGAAUUGCAAUACAUGCUUGUAACUCCACUGUCAAUGCUUACCCUGAAAAUGCCUAUGCAAAAUUUCAUGCGCACUUAUAUUACAAAGAUGAUUUUUUACCAAUUGAAAUGCAAAUUUUUUAAGACAAAACUCAAAAACCAUAUAUCCCAAAUCACUCAAUGAACUCAAUUAACAGAAACACGCCACAGUCGAAAUAAGAAUUAAUUUAAAGUGAAUUUUCAGCAUGGUACGAAUAUUAGCCAGAAUUAUAAUGGUUAAGCCAAGUAAAUAAUUCAA
rnacentral:misc_RNA from 1 species